GGGGCUGCACUGGUUUCGACGCGGGUUCGGAAUCGCUGUGGUGCAUGUCGAGCUCAGUGCGCUCGUAAAACAGACUGAAACAAACUAACUGCAAACGACGAACGUUUCGCACUCGCUGCUUAAACACCAGUGAGCCUUACAACAGCAGGCCGAUGGGCUGGGCAAGGGGUGCAAGCUCCCGGCUGUAAGGUUAUUCACAUCGGCUGGUCCUGAAUCGGGUACCUUGGUUCGGGACGAGACAAUAGGGUGCUGGCGGCCGGUGUAGCGUGCGACUGCGCGACACCGGUGGCGAGACUCAAAUCAGACCGCUAAACAUGUAGAUCUGCUCGAAGAAGGCUUGCGGACGCGGGUUCAAAUCCCGCCAGCUCCACCA
rnacentral:tmRNA from 1 species